UACGGGGGGUGCAAGCGUUGUCCGGAAUCAUUGGGCGUAAAGCGUUCGUAGGCGGUAUGUCAAGUCUGAUGUUAAAGCCCGGGGCUCAACUCCGGUUCGGCAUUGGAUACUGGCAAACUAGAAUGUGGUAGAGGUAAAGGGAAUUCCUGGUGUAGCGGUGAAAUGCGUAGAUAUAUGGAAGAACACCAGUGGCGAAAGCGGCUCUCUGGUCUGUAACUGACGCUGAGGUUCGAAAGCGUGGGUAGCAAACAGG
rnacentral:rRNA from 1 species